GGAUGAGAUCACUUUCAGAGGAGAUUGGGGCCAGGGCAGGGGCUCCAAAUCAUGCUCUGUGAAAAGAAGGGGGGCGGGGUGGGGAUGGCCAGUGCAAUAAUGGGCCAAUGCAGCAUGGGAGGUCAAAUGCCCAAGGGCAAGAUGAAAGAAAGUGCGAGGGUCAACAUGGCCGGGUGGGCACAAACGUGGUCUGUGGGAUGCACUGGGGAGCCAUAACCAGUUGCAAUGGAGCACCUUUAGCGGUUGGAGGCUCCCUCCACUGCUACAAGCGCCCCUCCAGUCUCAAGGAGGCAUCUGUCUGAAUCUACUGGGGGAACCCAAAGGAUGUCAACCUAGCUGCACGUAUGUGCCACGCAUGUGACAAGACUCAUCCCCAUAGUGAAGUUGGUACCAAGACCUAGAGGGUAGCCGCAGGUGGUUCACAUCUAGGAAGGAGUCAUCGCAACAAGUGUCACUGGAAGAAAUACUCCCAUCCACACCCUAAGAAGGUCAGACUUGAGUUGGAUCCUGAAAACCAGGUAAACCACAAAUAAAAGGUAAGAAGGUAAGACAGUCUGGGGGAGGGUGGAGACCCUCUAUGGGUAAAGGAGAAAGGAAGGGAAGGGUAUGCUCUGAUAAAAAAUAGAGAGAGAGACCCAGUUUUGCAGUAAUAGAAAGUUCACGAAGGGUGACAGUGGAAGGUAAUGCCGGAGAGGUAUUUGGCGUCAAAGGUUGGAGGCUUUAGAUGCCAGAUAAGAAGCGUGGACUUCGUCCUGCAGACGGUGGGGAAUAGCUGUGGGCCAGCGAGCAGAUCUGGAUGCGGACAAAGUGUAACUGUGAAAAUCAUCUGGGAGCUGAGUAUAGAUAAGACCCAGGGUGGUGAGACCAGGGUGGGGGCCGGCAGGGAAGAUGCCGCACCGGGGUCCACCCGACCACAUGCCCUGUCCUGGCCCAUAUCCCUCCUCUGACAGACCACCAGCACACAAGUCCCCUGUCCCAGCCAGACCCCUGUGGCCCUCGGCACCUCCCCACCCUACACUCCCUGCCUAUUGGUCCCGUGGACACGACUUCUCUUAUUAGAAAGGAAGGAAUCCCAGAGAGCCCACCCCAUGCCCUGGGCAAUCUAACACACGCCAUAUCUUUCUGUUGCUUUGAACUAGACAUUGAGUACUAGCUACCUUCAAACGCUUGAAGAUCUGCCAACACCCUCUCCAACUGUGGAAUUGGCUCCUGCGGAAGUAAGUGACUAAUUUUCCCGGGGGCACGCAAGUCAGAGAUGUUAAAGGAAGAGCUUCCUGAAUCGAACAUUUUAUAUUAGGUCAGACAUUCUGGAAGAUUCUGAGUGAAGUCGAGAACCUGAUGAACAUGGGUCUCACGCCAUGGGGCUCACAGACUCCCAGGGGAGAUAGACUCCGGGCAAGUACUUCUAUUAAAGCGUGUGGGCAACUAUUUCUUGGCUACAUGCAGGGCUGUUGGGACACACGUACUCCCUGCUCCCUCAGAGCCCUACUGAAUGCUUGCUGUGGGCCAGGCACCUGUAGUUAGGCCCGGGAACAGAGCAGUGAACAGAGCAAACAGUAAGCCCAGCCCAUAGGACUUACUUUCUAGGACAGAUGUUUGCCCCAAUGCCUCAUGCUGAAUGUGUGACAGGGGCACUGUCCUGCCCUGGCUGUCCACGUAAGCAAGAAAACCCUCCCCCCGAGUUAGAAGAAGGGGUGACCAAAGCCUGCUUGAAGGGCUCUGCCCUGGACCCCCUUACUCCUGGACUCACACAACGUCGUUAGAAAGUAGGUAUGGUAGCCCAGCCUUCUCCUGUGUGGACGGAGAACCAAAGAUGAGAGCACAUCCUUCGACUGACAUUUUAACCCACGGGGUCUGCGCACAUGGGCAAAGUUCCCGAUCCAGGUCCCGAACUCAGCUUGUGGGCCACCAGCUUGAAAUAUUACAAACGUUCAGGCUCCUAGAUGUCCAAAUAACAGCAGGAUACCCCGGGCUGAGAAGUCCACCCACUUCAGUACCAAACAGAGUACAAUGAAUGAGGCGACACUGACUCUUACGCACCCCUGCCGGUGCCUCCAUUAACGCCACGUUUGAGAGUGAAAUCUUUCUCAAAUUGAUUGGGACCCCUCAAAUCAUGGCGACCCUCAGCCUACAUUUUAUCACCCACUACUUACAUGGAAAGAAGCAGUGAGAGAGAAAGAUGUUGAUCCCACACCUACUCCCCCAUCGUCAAAGGCUAGUCCUGCCCCCUGCUCGUUACAGAGGGUCCUAGAUGCACCCUAGGAGCACGUCCGUGCACCCUCUUCUCUCCUGAGGCUGGGCUCAGGAGUUGUGGGAGGGGAGAGUUGCCAGAUAAACUACAGGAUACCCAGAUAAACUUGAAUUUCCACAAAUACUCGUUUAGUAUAAGUAUAUCCCAGGCAAUGUUUGGGAUAUACUUCCACUAAAAAAAUUUUUGUUGUUGUGUACGUAAUACUCAAGUUAUUUGAACAGGGGGCCCUAUAUUUUUAUUGUAAAUAGGGCCACCCAGGGAAGGGUAUAUAUGGUCCACACUCACGGGAGGGUCAGAAGAAAAGAAAGUUCAUCAAGCUGAAGGGAAGGCUAGCCAGGGCACCGGGGUGGCAGGAGCAGUGAGUUUGGUCAAAAGAGGAUUCAGAGAAGAGAGAACCGUGAGAUGGCUCCAGCUCAGCACCCCGGUGUCUGCUGUGUAAGCGAACCCAGGUUGGUCUGCUAAGGGGUUGGAGACAUCCGGUUCAGGUGCCACCAACACCAAGGUUGAUAGCCAGCCUAUUACAAAACUGUGAGGCCACCUAGACCAGUAGCCCAGCUGACCCGCCAGCUGACUGUCGAUGCUGAGCCGCGCCAAGGUCAGCCCGGCUCGGCCUGGGGCCAGAACCGCUCGGCUGGCCUGCAGGUUCCUGAGCUAACUCCCGGAUGGUUUGUUAUGCAGCAUAGGUAACCAGCGCAAAGACGGGGGGUUGGGGGGUGAUGGGACUUGGGAAUUCCAGACGGAGAAGACAGUGUGACAGAUUGAGGGUCCGAGCGCCCCGAUUUUCUGAGUUCUCCCCAGUCCUCUCCCCAAGGACUGACACAGCAGGUUUUGAGGUCCCUGCUCAUGCCUUCCAUCUCAGGAAUCUUCCAGCCCUGGAGAGCCAACUCAGCCGGGGAAAGAACCUGGCUCAAGGGCAACCAACGCUCCACCGGCUGACUGCCCAUGAGUAGCGUGGCCUGGACCAAUCAAGGCCUUCCUGGCAAUUUGUCAGAGCGCUGUGGGUUAGAGCUGCAGGGUCAUGGGUCUCUAAAGGCCAUGGAAAAGCAGAAGGAUGCUUAGAAGAAACGGAGUAGACUCACAGAGAGACGCAGAGUGGCCCAGGAGAGAGAAGGGGGAGAGAGUGGCCCUUCUCGCACUCAGCACGGCACCGGGAAUUUGCUGGUGAUCUCUGGGUCUAGGGAGCUGAAGACCCUCACUCCAGAACCUUCUCUCCUGCUUGAGCUCCGCCUCAACGCCGGUUCCUUUCUCUGCACUGAUUGACUUUCCUUGUCUGCAGUAACCCCAUUACCGGGGGGAUACCUACCAGACCAAGACUAGGCACCUGCCUCCCAAAUUCUGCUUCAUAAAGAAUUCAGGUUUAUGGAUUGAAUAUAGUUGAGGAGAGGCCACGUCAAAUCCCUCAUAAUAGAAUUGCAUUUUAGGAAUGACUUCAGCUAAUCAAUUAAACUUAAAAAUAUGUUUUG
rnacentral:lncRNA from 1 species